rnacentral:rRNA from 1 species
UACAGAGGUCUCAAGCGUUGUUCGGAUUCAUUGGGCGUAAAGGGCGCGUAGGCGGCGGGGUAAGUCGGGUGUGAAAUCUCAGAGCUCAACUCUGAAACUGCACUCGAUACUGCUCUGCUUGAGGACUGGAGAGGAGACUGGAAUUCACGGUGUAGCAGUGAAAUGCGUAGAUAUCGUGAGGAAGACCAGUGGCGAAGGCGGGUCUCUGGACAGUUCCUGACGCUGAGGCGCGAAGGCCAGGGGAGCAAACGGA